rnacentral:pre_miRNA from 2 species
AUAAUACUCCCUCCGUUCUAAUUUUUUUGUCUUAGGUUUGUCUAAAAAAGUAUGUAUCUAAAUAUUAAAAAGUAACUAGAUGCAUUUAUAUCUAGACAAAUCUAACAUAAUAAUUUUGGAACGGGAGGAGUAUGUU